GACGUAGGAUGCAAGCGUUGUCCGGAUUUAUUGGGCGUAAAGAGUUCGUAGGUGGUUUGUUAAGUUUGGUGUUAAAGAUUGGGGCUCAACCCUGAAACUGCACUGAAUACUGGCAGACUCGAGUGUGGUAGAGGCUAGUGGAAUUCCCAGUGUAGCGGUGAAAUGCGUAGAUAUUGGGAAGAACACCGGUGGCGUAGGCGACUAGCUGGGCCAUAACUGACACUGAGGAACGAAAGCCAGGGGAGCGAAUGGG
rnacentral:ncRNA from 3 species